GUGCUCCAGACCCUGUGUCCAUCCUCCCACACUCCCUGUCUGUGUCUCUGUCCCCUGGCUGCCAGGACACCCACAAGUUCACAUUUCUGAAGAGCACCUACGUCCUGUGCAAAACUGCCUUGAAACGUGGCUUGACUCAGGGCCUGGAUUUAUUCUGCCAGGCAUGCGAAGUGGUGGAGAAUAUCAAGGACCUCCUGGAAAAGGAGCCAAGGGACCGUCUGUCCUCACAGAUCCGGUAUCUCGCCAUGAUCACCAUCGAUGAGUUAUGGUGGGCCCCCUGCCCCAGAGCUCUGAGACCACCUGCACAAGGCCUUGGGGGCUGCUCCCAGCACCUGUGUCCAACUGCCCCUCCUCUGUCCUUGCAGCUUGGUGGAGAAUGUGCUGGAGGGCAAAACCAGAAGCCUCCUCUCCGCAUGUUUCUCGAGUGUCUUAUUGCUCCCCUCGGAAAGGGAAAUGCCACACCAGAGCGCUUCCCUCUUCACCAAGAUGCUGCUGGACUUCACCAGAUCUGAGAGAGAAGUUGUGCGGGAGAGGGCUGUGGGGAGGAUUGGUGUCCUGACCAGUUUGCUGUCUGGCUAUUCCACUCUGAAGGCCUCUGUCAGCUUUGGAAGAGACAGUUUUGGACCUGUCUGCCCUGAAGACAUCUCAGUCCCAGUCGUGGGAAGGCUGGUGGGACGUCUCAUUCUUUUCCGAUAUUCCGAGGAACAAACAAGUUAUACAGCUUUCCACGCUCUUUUUUCCCUUGCUGAAUUCCUCUACAAGUCAAGGCCAAGGGAUGGGCCAGACCAAUUUGCUUGGGAAGCUGUGACCACCUCCUCGCUGUGUUACCUGAGCAUCAGAGACUGUACCCAGGCCUUUGGAAAAUACCUCCACUCUAGAGAGAGGACAGAUGUCAUCCUGGAGGCCAUUCAGGCCAUGAGAGAUGCCAGCAUCCUUGACAAGCAGGUGCCCAGCAGCAUGCUGGAUGUGGCCAUGGAAGACCCAAAAUUCUGGCUGACAGAUGUAAGUGCCCUGAGGCUGGAUUGCCCAGAUCUUCAGCCCUGUCAGGCCUUGUUCCUCCCUCCGUCUUUUCCUCACAAAUCCAGGUGACUUGAGCACCUGAAGCCAUCCGAAGGUGGCAGAGAGGAAUGGGAAGGGCAGCUGAGGACAUGGCUGCACUCCAGUGGCAGUGCCAUCCUCAGCUGUAAACUCUCCAGGUGCCCAAGAUAGUGAGCUGCAUUCUUGAAAACCUGCUAUGCAUCACCACAGAGUCAGGCUGUAGGAAAGUGGAGUCACUGUUUCUCCUGAUGACCAACGAGAACCGCUCGGCAGUGGUCAUCAGCCUGUGUGAGAUGACUCUGCAAGGAGACAGGUACUGGCCCUGACAAUCUGAAGGGCUUGCUCCAUGUGGGGAGAGGGACCCCGAGACUCUGUGGCUGCCAGCUCCAGGGAAUGCUGCAGGACAUCCCAUGGAGCCAGGCUCUCCAUCCCACAAACCCUUCCAGCUCCGGUGCAUUGGCUGGGCCUGCAGCUGCCAAAGCCAGCCAGGCCAGUCCAGAGCCAGCUCGGUGCUUGCAGCCCUGCAGAGAACUCCUCCUCAGCUCUGUCCUACCUCCUGCAGGGCCCCUGGGGACCCCCAGCAUGGGCUCUGCUCUGUGGGGCUGCUCCUGGCCACGGUGCUGUGGCUGAGGCAGCCCCCUGGCUUCCAGUGCUGUGCAGGAGCUGUGCAACACUCUGUCCUCCAUGCCUGAGAUUUUGGACAAGGUCCUCACGGAGUUUGCUAUCUUGCUCCGGAACCACUGGUGCAGCUCUUCCAGAGAAAGCACCUGGAACUCUCACAGAGCUGUGAGUUACCAGAAAAGGCCUCGAUCCCUUUCCAUGAGCCGUCUGCCAGCACCUCAUGGCUGUGUUUGUUCCUCCAGUCAUCCUCGGGGCACAGGGACUUGGAGGAGCUGGGUAACAAGCCCAGCAUCUGGAGCGAUGAGGGCCAUCCCGAUGUGGUGACGGCCUUCCUGAUGCUGGAGAUCCUCACUGGGCUGUCAGAGAGAGCUGAGAUGGUGAGCAGGGGGGGAUUGGGGCAGCCACGCUGGCAGCCAGGGCCUGGGCCAGA
rnacentral:lncRNA from 1 species